rnacentral:tRNA from 1 species
AAGGAAGUGGCAGAUUGGUAUGUAAUUGAUUUGAAAUCAAAUUAAGGGGGUUCAAUU